rnacentral:tRNA from 1 species
AAUGAGGUGGCCGAAGGAUUUAGGCGGUAAAUUGUAAAUUUAUAUAUGAGUUUUAGUUGCUCCCUUAUUA